GUGGUUUUUACGUAGCGCUGUUGUAGUGUUUCUGUGUGGUGUUUGUGUGUGGUCUUUGCGUUUGUUGUUGGUUGUCUGUUUUUGUGCAUUGCCUUGUGCAUUGCCUUGUGCAUUGCCUUGUGCGGUGCCUUGUGCGGUGCCUUGUGCGAUGUCUUGUGCGAUGUCUUGUGCAGUGCCUUGUGCGUUGCCUUGUGCGUUGCCUUGUGCGGUGCCUGGCAGUACAAACGAUCGACGGCAACACUCGGACCAGACCCAAGCCCUUGCAGACAAUAGACGUCUUUGCUUGCUUUGAUGAAACCAAAUCAAAAA
rnacentral:misc_RNA from 1 species